UACGUAGGGUGCGAGCGUUGUCCGGAAUUAUUGGGCGUAAAGAGCGUGUAGGCGGCCAGGUAGGUCUGCUGUGAAAACUCGAGGCUUAACCUCGAGCUGUCGGCGGAAACCAUCUGGCUAGAGUCCGGAAGAGGAGAAUGGAAUUCCCGGUGUAGCGGUGAAAUGCGCAGAUAUCGGGAAGAACACCCGUGGCGAAGGCGGUUCUCUGGGACGGUACUGACGCUGAGGAGCGAAAGCGUGGGGAGCGAACAGG
rnacentral:rRNA from 1 species